rnacentral:misc_RNA from 1 species
GAUGAAGAACGUAGCGAAAUGCGAUAAGUAAUGUGAAUUGCAGAAUUCAGUGAAUCAUCGAAUCUUUGAACGCACAUUGCGCCCGCCAGUAUUCUGGCGGGCAUGCCUGUUCGAGCGUCAUUUCAACCAUCAAGCCCCCGGCUUGUGUUGGGGACCUGCGGCUGCCGCAGGCCCUGAAAACCAGUGGCGGGCUCGCUGUCACACCGAGCGUAGUAGAUUUUCAUCUCGCUCAGGGCGUGCUGCGGGUUCCGGCCGUAAAAAGCCUUAUUUACCCAAGGUUGACCUCGGAUCAGGUAGGAAGACCCGCUGAACUAAAGCAUAUCAAUAAGCGGAGGA